rnacentral:rRNA from 1 species
ACGUACACUCCUACGGGAGGCAGCAGUGGGGAAUAUUGGACAAUGGGCGCAAGCCUGAUCCAGCCAUGCCGCGUGAGUGAUGAAGGCCCUAGGGUUGUAAAGCUCUUUCACCGGUGAAGAUAAUGACGGUAACCGGAGAAGAAGCCCCGGCUAACUUCGUGCCAGCAGCCGCGGUAAUACGAAGGGGGCUAGCGUUGUUCGGAUUUACUGGGCGUAAAGCGCACGUAGGCGGACUAUUAAGUCAGGGGUGAAAUCCCGGGGCUCAACCCCGGAACUGCCUUUGAUACUGGUAGUCUUGAGUUCGAGAGAGGUGAGUGGAAUUCCGAGUGUAGAGGUGAAAUUCGUAGAUAUUCGGAGGAACACCAGUGGCGAAGGCGGCUCACUGGCUCGAUACUGACGCUGAGGUGCGAAAGCGUGGGGAGCAAACAGGAUUAGAUACCCUUGUAGUCCCAU